GACGAACGCUGGCGGCGUGCUUAACACAUGCAAGUCGAACGGUGAAGCGCCUUCCUUUUUGGUGGGUGUGGAUGAGUGGCGAACGGGUGAGUAACACGUGAGUAACCUACCCCCUUCUUCUGGAUAACCGCAUGAAAGUGUGGCUAAUACGGGAUAUUCUGGGUCUGUCGCAUGAUGGGUCUGGGAAAGAUAUUGUUUCGGUGGGGGAUGGGCUCGCGGCCUAUCAGCUUGUUGGUGGGGUGAUGGCCUACCAAGGCGGUGACGGGUAGCCGGCCUGAGAGGGUGGACGGUCACACUGGGACUGAGACACGGCCCAGACUCCUACGGGAGGCAGCAGUGGGGAAUAUUGCACAAUGGGCGCAAGCCUGAUGCAGCGACGCCGCGUGAGGGAUGGAGGCCUUCGGGUUGUGAACCUCUUUCGCCAGUGAAGCAGGCCUGCCUCGUUUGUGGGUGGGUUGACGGUAGCUGGAUAAGAAGCGCCGGCUAACUACGUG
rnacentral:rRNA from 1 species